CCUACGGGAGGCAGCAGUGGGGAAUUUUGGACAAUGGACGCAAGUCUGAUCCAGCCAUGCCGCGUGCGGGAAGAAGGCCUUCGGGUUGUAAACCGCUUUUGUCAGGGAAGAAAAGGUUCUGGUUAAUACCUGGGACUCAUGACGGUACCUGAAGAAUAAGCACCGGCUAACUACGUGCCAGCAGCCGCGGUAAUACGUAGGGUGCAAGCGUUAAUCGGAAUUACUGGGCGUAAAGCGUGCGCAGGCGGUUAUGCAAGACAGAGGUGAAAUCCCCGGGCUCAACCUGGGAACUGCCUUUGUGACUGCAUAGCUAGAGUACGGUAGAGGGGGAUGGAAUUCCGCGUGUAGCAGUGAAAUGCGUAGAUAUGCGGAGGAACACCGAUGGCGAAGGCAAUCCCCUGGACCUGUACUGACGCUCAUGCACGAAAGCGUGGGGAGCAAACAGGAUUAGAUACCCUGGUAGUCCACGCCCUAAACGAUGUCAACUGGUUGUUGGGAGGGUUUCUUCUCAGUAACGUAGCUAACGCGUGAAGUUGACCGCCUGGGGAGUACGGCCGCAAGGUUGAAACUCAAAUGAAAUUGACGGCUGAGACGNGCGAGGACGACGACGAGGGAGGAGG
rnacentral:rRNA from 1 species